UUUCAGCAGGUAUUUUCUCAGUCGGCUGCUCUUCUUCAGUAACCAGCCAUGAUCCUCCAGGCGGCUGUGCUCAGCGUGUUCUUGUGCUUCGCCCACACUUUUGUUAUAGAGGCACCUUUUAAAAAAAGUGUUGAAAACUCCGGAAACAACACUGAGGGUGAUGAUUUCAGUAUCUCGACACUGCUGGAGAAGGCUAAUGCUAAUCUUGG